GAGGGUAUAGCUCAAGUGGCAGAGUGUGUGCUUAGCAUGCACGGGGUCCUGGGUUCAAUCCCCGGUACCUCCU
rnacentral:tRNA from 1 species